GACAGAGGUGCCGAGCGUUAGGCGGAAUCACUGGGCUUAAAGCGUGUGUAGGCGGACUUCUAAGUACCUUGUGAAAUCCCACGGCUCAACCGUGGAACUGCUCGGUACACUGGUUGUCUUGAGCCACUUAGGGGCAGUCGGAACAGACGGUGGAGCGGUGAAAUGCGUAGAUAUCGCUUGGAACGCCAAUGGUGAAAACAGCUCGCUGGGGGUGUGCUGACGCUGAGACACGAAAGCCAGGGGAGCGAACGGG
rnacentral:rRNA from 1 species